AGCAAUAUUGGCUGGUCCCUGUGGUGAUUAGUUUAACCGACCACUGAGAGGUUUGUCCUCUAACACAGUGAGAACUGGCCUCUGUCCCUCAGCUGGCCAUCACAGGGGUCACUGCUCUCCCUCUGCCAGUGUCACACAACAAACUCUCCUGGGACAACGCCACUAGUAAUCAAGUAACCUCUAAGCAGAUACAGGCCAGUCAAGUCAAGAGCAAUCCAGACAGAGCUCAGGGAUGAGAGGAGAGGUGAGGGUGGAAGCAAUGACCACCGCGACCAGAGACAUGCCCUGCUGCGGAUGAGACGAUGUGUCUGCUGGAAAUGAGCCAGAAGAUGCACAGUGCCCAGACUGGUUCUGAGGAAGGGUAUGUGGGAAUUCACUUUCCUUUGACACCGGGCGCACCACGGGUUCUGGCAACGCAGCAACCACUUGGCCGAGAGUGGGAAAUCCAAGGAAACUGCUUGCCUCGCAAACAUCCCCGGUGACAGGGAGCAAAACUGUUCCAAUCAUGGGAAGGAGCAGCUGACAAUGAUUCAAAUGUGCUAGAACAACGCUCUCAGAAGCAGCUGAGAGAUCCAUAUGUAUGAAGAUAACCGUGGCAUCAAACAGCUGAGUCCACUUGUUUUCUUCUCUCCAAACAGGAAACUCUGCCAUGCCUUCAUGAUCAUUCCUGUAUUUUGCGUAAUGAACAGUCUUGCAAAUGAGUCACCGGCUAAGCGUCUCUCUUUCUUUUCUCUCUCUCUAUUUUUUGGUUGUUAUUCUCCCUUGUAGUUGCAUCUUCCUAAUUCAUCACGCCUGUUUGAUAGUGUUGUGGCAGUUCUGUAAUAAAGGUAGGUUCAACAUGUUUUUGCUUCACCCAGGGCUCUCAACUAACUUUUUUCACCAUCCUCCCAGAACCGUCCCGAAA